rnacentral:rRNA from 1 species
UGAGGAAUAUUGGUCAAUGGGCGAGAGCCUGAACCAGCCAAGUAGCGUGCAGGACGACGGCCCUAUGGGUUGUAAACUGCUUUUGCGCGGGGAUAAAGUGCGCCACGUGUGGCUCAUUGCAGGUACCGCGCGAAUAAGGACCGGCUAAUUCCGUGCCAGCAGCCGCGGUAAUACGGAAGGUCCGGGCGUUAUCCGGAUUCAUUGGGUUUAAAGGGAGCGCAGGCCGCCCCCUUAAAGCGUGUUGUGAAAUGUAGUGGCUCAACCUCUGCACUGCAGCGCGAACUGGUCUUCUUGAGUACGCACAACGUGGGCGGAAUUCGUGGUGUAGCGGUGAAAUGCUUAGAUAUCACGAAGAACUCCGAUUGCGAAGGCAGCUCACGGGAGCGC